AUGGCACCAACGUCCCUGCAGAGGCCGAGGAAGCCGAGGUGCCCCUCCCACCCCAUGCUCUCUCUCUCCCCUGCCCUCCUCUCCCUCCUCCUCCUAGUCCCCUUCCUCUACCUCCUCAUCCACCGUUCCGCGUGCUCCCCGCCCUUCAGCAGCCUCACGACCGCCAGGCGUUCAUCCUCGAGCGUCAGCGGCUUCGCCGGAGACCUUCGCGACAUCGAGUUCUCGUGGAACCACCUGCCGUUCAUGUCGUCGAAGCCGCCCCUCGCCAAGCUCAAGAUCGCCGUGUUCUCGCGGAAGUGGCCCGUGGCCACGGCCCCCGGCGGCAUGGAGCGGCACGCGCACACGCUGCACACGGCGCUCGCCGCGCGGGGCCACCGCGUCCACGUGUUCACCUCGCCUCCACCGCAUACCGAGGCCGCGCCCUCGCCCUCCGCCGAUGGUCCUCAGCUGCAUUUCCUUGACGGCACCCCCGGCCAGUGGCGGUGCGACGAGGCGUGGAAGCUGUACGAGGCUGAGGGCGACAACGAUCCAUUCGACGUCAUCCACUCCGAGAGCGUGGCGGUGUUCCACCGGUACGCGCGCGGCGUGCCCAACCUGGUGGUGUCGUGGCACGGAAUCUCCCUGGAGGCGCUGCACUCGGGCAUCUACCAGGACCUCGCCCGCGGCGAGGACGAGCCCAUGUCGCCGGCGUUCAACCAGAGCCUGUCGCAGUCGGUGCACCGGGUGCUGUCCGAGGUGCGCUUCUUCCGGAGCUACGCGCACCAGGUGGCCAUCAGCGACUCCACCGGGGAGAUGCUCCGCGACGUGUACCAGAUCCCCGGCCGCCGCGUGCACGUAAUCCUGAACGGUGUGGACGAGGCGCAGUUCACUCCGGACACGGAGCUCGGCCGCGCCUUCCGGGAAGAGAUCGGGCUCCCCAAGAGCGCCGACCUCGUGCUCGGCGUCUCCGGGAGGCUCGUCAAGGACAAGGGCCACCCGCUGCUCUACGAGGCCUUCUCCAAGCUCGCCCUCCGCCACCCGAACGUGUACCUCCUCGUCGCCGGCAAGGGGCCGUGGGAGUCGAGGUACAUGGACCUGGGACGCAACGCCAAGGUGCUUGGCGCGGUGCCGCCUGGGAAGCUCAGGGCGUUCUACAACGCGCUGGACGUGUUCGUGGACCCGACGCUGCGGCCGCAGGGCCUGGACCUGACGCUCAUGGAGGCGAUGCAAUGCGGCAAGCCGGUGGUGGCCACGCGGUUCCCGAGCAUCAAGGGAAGCAUCGUGGUGGACGAGGAGUUCGGCCACAUGUUCGCGCCCAACGUGGAGUCGCUGCUCGAGAGUCUGGAGGCGGUGGUGCAGGAUGGCGCCCGGCGCGCCGCGGAGCGCGGCCGGGCGUGCAGGGAGUACGCCAGGUCCAUGUUCGCGGCCACCAAGAUGGCACUAGCGUACGAGAGGCUCUUCCUUUGUGUCAAGAACGAGACCUUCUGUGCGUACCCUUCUGAGUUUGAUUAG
rnacentral:rRNA from 1 species